GGGGUUGUAGCUCAGUUGGGAGAGCACCGGCUUUGCAAGCCGGGGGUCAGGGGUUCGAGUCCCCUCAGCUCCA
rnacentral:tRNA from 1 species